AAAGGUGGAAUUAAUUGUAAUUAAUUUAUAAGUGAAGAAUAAUAGAAGCUAAAAAUUUUUAAAGAUAAACUAGGAUUAGAUACCCUAUUAUAUUAAAAAGUAAAAGGAAAAAGCUAGAUUAUUAAUAGUUAUUUACUUAAAAUUUAAAGAAUUUGGCGGUAAUUUAGUCUUAUUAGAGGAACCUGUUUUGUAAUCGACAACCCACGAAAUAUCUUACUUAAGUUUGUAUACCAUCAUAGAAGAUAAUUUUGAUAAAAUGAAAUUAUUGAAAUUAAUUUAUUAAGAAAAUUAGAUCAAGGUGCAGCUUAUAAAUAAGUUAAAAUGGGUUACAAUAAAUUUUAUUUAUAUGAAUAUAAAAUUAUGGAAGGAGGAUUUAAUUGUAUUAAAGUUUAAUAAGCUAUAAUGAUAAGAGCUCUAAAUUAUGUACAUAUCGCCCGUCGCUUUC
rnacentral:rRNA from 1 species